UACGUAGGGCGCAAGCGUUAUCCGGAAUUACUGGGCGUAAAGAGCUCGUAGGUGGUUUGUCGCGUUGUUCGUGAAAACUCACAGCUUAACUGUGGGCGUGCGGGCGAUACGGGCAGACGUGGAGUACUGUAGGGGGAGACUGGAAUUCCUGGUGUAGCGGUGGAAUGCGCAGAUAUCAGGAGGAACACCGGUGGCGAAGCGGGUCGUCUGGCGAGUAACUGACGCUGAGGAGCGAAAGCGUGGGGGAGCGAACAGG
rnacentral:rRNA from 1 species